ACUCCUACGGGUGGCUGCAGCAAGGGAUCGUGCACAAUGGGCGAAAGCCUGAUGCCGCGACGCCGCGUGAGGGAUGACGGCUUUCGAGUUGUAAACCUCUUUUCUCAGGGAAGAGCGAGGACGUCACCUGAGGAAUAAGUCACGGCUAACUACGUGCCAGCAGCCGCGGUAAUACGUAGGUGGCAAGCGUUGUCCGGAAUUACUGGGCGUAAAGGGUCCGUAGGCGGUUUGGUAAGUCUUCUGUGAAAGCUCCAGGCUCAACUUGGAGUCGUCGGGGGAAACUGCUGAACUAGAGACUGUCAGAGGCAGGUGGAAUUCCCGGUGUAGUGGUGAAAUACGUAGAUAUCGGGAGGAACACCAGUGGCGAAAGCGGCCUGCUGGGGCAGUUCUGACGCUAAGGGACUAAAGCGUGGGGAGCGAACCGGAUUAGAUACCCGGGUAGUCCACGCCCUAAACGAUGAAUGCUAGGUCUUCGGGGUGUUAAUUCCCUGUGGGCCGAAGGUAACCCAUUAAGCAUUUCGCCUGGGGACUACGGCCGCAAGGCUAAAACUCAAAGGAAUUGACGGGUCCCCGCACAAGCAGCGGAGCGUGUGGUUUAAUUCGAUGGUAAGCGAAGAACCUUACCUAGGCUUGACAUGUUUGGUGGUACCGAACCGAAAGGGGAGGGACCCUUCGGGGAGCCUUACACAGGUGUUGCAUGGCCGUCGUCAGCUCGUGCCGUGAGAU
rnacentral:rRNA from 1 species